UUUUGGACAAUGGGGGCAACCCUGAUCCAGCCAUGCCGCGUGAGUGAAGAAGGCCUUCGGAUUGUAAAGCUCUUUCGGACGGAACGAAAUGGGCGGGACUAAUACUCCUGUCUGAUGACGGUACCGUAAGAGGAAGCACCGGCUAACUACGUGCCAGCAGCCGCGGUUAAUACUUAGGGUGCGAGCGUUAAUCGGAAUUACUGGGCGUAAAGCGUGCGCAGGCGGUUUCGUAAGCUGGAGGUGAAAUCCCCGGGCUUAACCUGGGAAUGGCCUUCAGGACUGCGAGGCUAGAGUGCGGCAGAUGGAGGUGGAAUUCCACGUGUAGCAGUGAAAUGCGUAGAGAUGUGGAGGAACACCGAUGGCGAAGGCAGCCUCCUGGGCCAGCACUGACGCUCAUGCACGAAA
rnacentral:rRNA from 1 species